rnacentral:rRNA from 1 species
GACGAACGCUGGCGGCGUGCCUAAUACAUGCAAGUUGAGCGCUGAAGGUUGGUACUUGUACCAACUGGAUGAGCAGCGAACGGGUGAGUAACGCGUGGGGAAUCCGCCUUUGAGCGGGGGACAACAUUUGGAAACGAAUGCUAAUACCGCAUAAAAACUUUAAACACAAGUUUUAAGUUUGAAAGAUGCAAUUGCAUCACUCAAAGAUGAUCCCGCGUUGUAUUAGCUAGUUGGUGAGGUAAAGGCUCACCAAGGCGAUGAUACAUAGCCGACCUGAGAGGGUGAUCGGCCACAUUGGGACUGAGACAAGGCCCAAACCCCUACGGGAGGCAGCAGUAGGGGAUCUUCGGCAAUGGACGAAAGUCUGACCGAGCAACGCCGCGUGAGUGAAGAAGGUUUUCGGAUCGUAAAACUCUGUUGGUAGAGAAGAACGUUGGUGAGAGUGGAAAGCUCAUCAAGUGACGGUAACUACCCAGAAAGGGACGGCUAACUACGUG